AAGCUCGUAGUUGAAUUUCGGGGUCAGUAGGUUGGUCGUGCCACCGGUACGUACUGGUCUCACUGAUUCCUCCUUCCUGAUGAGCUGUAAUGCCAUUAAUUUGGUGUUGCAGGGAAUCUGGACUGUUACUUUGAAAAAAUUAGAGUGUUUAAAGCAGGCUAACGCUUGAAUACAUUAGCAUGGAAUAAUGAAAUAGGACGUUCGAUCCUAUUUUGUUGGUUUCUUAGGAUUGACGUAAUGAUUAAUAGGGAUAGUUGGG
rnacentral:rRNA from 1 species